rnacentral:tRNA from 1 species
AAAAUUAUAAGUUAAUUCAAACUACUAUCGUUCAAAGAUAGAAAUACUUCAUUCAAGUUAAUUUUG